rnacentral:rRNA from 1 species
CGUGAAAUUGUUGAAAGGGAAGCGCUUGCAACCAGACUUGCACUUGGUCGAUCAUCCGGGGUUCUCCCCGGUGCACUCGAUCUCGUUCAGGCCAGCAUCGGUUUAGGUGGUGGGAUAAAGGCCUUGGGAAUGUAGCUUCUUUCGGGGAGUGUUAUAGCCCUCGGUGCAAUGCCGCCUACCUGGACCGAGGACCGCGCUUCGGCUAGGAUGCUGGCGUAAUGGUUGUAAGCGACCCGUCUUGAAACACGG